CUGGUAAUAAGUGUGCUUUCUGCAAUGCCCACAUUUGCCAUGACUGUUCUCCGUCUGCCAAAGAAGUUUCUCAAAGAAAUAGACAAGACAAGAUGUAGAUUCCUAUGGGCACAAGAAGAAGAGCUGCCGGGAGGGAAGUGCAAAGUGAAUUGGAAGACAUUAUGUUCACCGAUCGAGAAGGGGGGGCUUGGGAUACAAGAUCUUCAGCGCUUCGGCAGAGCUCUUCGCCUACGGUGGGUCUGGAUGGCCUGGACACAUCCAUCCAGGCCAUGGAAACACUUUCCCACACACUGCGAUCAGGAAGAUGAUAUGUCCAUUUUGCAUCAUGUUUUCUUACUGUUAUUUAUAAUGUUUUUAUCCAUAACAAUGCUUUUUGGAGUAAUUAUAAUGCCUUUUCUCUCAUAA
rnacentral:rRNA from 1 species